rnacentral:rRNA from 1 species
GACGAACGCUGGCGGCGUGCUUAACACAUGCAAGUCGAACGGAAAGGCCCUGCUUUUGUGGGGUUCUCGAGUGGCGAACGGGUGAGUAACACGUGAGUAACCUGCCCUUGACUUUGGGAUAACUUCAGGAAACUGGGGCUAAUACCGGAUAGGAGCUCCUGCUGCAUGGUGGGGGUUGGAAAGUUUCGGCGGUUGGGGAUGGACUCGCGGCUUAUCAGCUUGUUGGUGGGGUAGUGGCUUACCAAGGCUUUGACGGGUAGCCGGCCUGAGAGCGUGACCGGGCACAUUGGGACUGCGAUACGGCCCAGACUGCUACGGGAGGCAGCAGUGGGGAAUAUUGCACAAUGGGCGGAAGCCUGAUGCAGCAACGCCGCGUGCGGGAUGACGGUCUUCGGGUUGUAAACCGCUUUAGCCUGUGACGAAGCGUGAGUGACGGUAAUGGGUAAAGAAGCACCGGCUAACUACGUG